AAGUCGUAACAAGGUUUCCGUAGGUGAACCUGCGGAAGGAUCAUUCACAAUAAGUGUUUUAUGGCACUUUUUAAAUCCAUAUCCACCUUGUGUGCAAUGUCAGUCGGUUUUCUUUUUCGUCAAGAAAAAAAAGGAUCGACCAAACAUCAACUUAUUCCAAUUGAACUUUUGUCUGAAAACUAUUAUGAAUAAACUAAUUCAAAAUACAACUUUCAACAACGGAUCUCUUGGCUCUC
rnacentral:misc_RNA from 1 species